UUAAAAAAGUCUCUUCCCUGUUGAUAUUAAUAAGCUUAAUUUCUCUGCAAUAGGGGCCUAAAGGGGACCCAGGAUUCUCCCCAGGACAGGCAAAACGUGGAGAAAAGGGUGAUCCAGGCCCAAUAGGCUUUUCAGGACCACCAGGGAUCAAAGGCCAGAAGGGUCAUAAGGGUUUUAUGGGACUUCAAGGGCCACGGGGUGAGCAGGUAAGUAAUGAAAACAUAGUUGACUGUACUCGUUAGAUGAGCAUUUCAUGAUGGA
rnacentral:lncRNA from 1 species